GUCGAUAAGGAUAGAGGCGGAAACCCGACGGCCAACCUGCAGUACGACUACAACCCCAACGACCGCUUCAGUCUCCACGCGGGAGGAAGCCACACCUUUGGCGGCGGCGGAAGCAGUUACAGGGCCGGUUUCUCGUGGAAAUUCCGUCGG